rnacentral:misc_RNA from 1 species
GAUGAAGAACGUAGCGAAAUGCGAUAAGUAAUGUGAAUUGCAGAAUUCAGUGAAUCAUCGAAUCUUUGAACGCACCUUGCGCUCCUUGGCAUUCCGAGGAGCAUGCCUGUUUGAGUGUCAUUAAAUUCUCAAGACCUGUCUGCUUUUUUGAUAGGUAUUGGAUUUUGGGGGUUGCAGGCUGUUUCAAAUAAAUAGCCUUGCUCUCCUUGAAUGUAUUAGUGGAGAAAAGCCAUUGAACUCCAUUGGUGUGAUAAAACCUAUCAAUGCCAGGAGCAAUAUUACUACUUCUCUCUGCUGUCUAACUGUGACUGUCUGUAUUAAUUAGUAUGGAUGGAGACAACUUGACCAACUUGACCUCAAAUCAGGUAGGACUACCCGCUGAACUUAAGCAUAUCAAUAAGCGGAGGA